AGCCGCGGUAAUACGUAUGUCGCAAGCGUUAUCCGGAAUCACUGGGCAUAAAGGGCAUCUAGGCGGUUUGAAAAGUCAGUGGUGAAAGGUAUGGGCUCAACCCGUGCAUUGCCAUUGAAACUCUUAAACUAGAGUAUGGGAGAGGAGGGCGGAACUACAAGAGUAGCGGUGAAAUGCGUAGAUAUUUGUAGGAAUGCCAAUGACGAAGGUAGCUCUCUGGACCAAUACUGACGCUAAAGUGCGAAAGCUAGGGUAGCAAACAGGAUUAGAUACCCUGGUAGUCCUAGCUGUAAACGAUGAUUACUGGGUGUAGGCUGUCAAAGGUCUGUGCCGAAGCUAAUGCGAUAAGUAAUCCGCCUGGGGAGUACGACCGCAAGGUUGAAACUCAAAGGAAUUGACGGGGACCCGCACAAGCGGUGGAGCAUGUGGUUUAAUUCGACGCAACGCGAGGAACCUUACCAGAACUUGACAUCCUAAGAACUUAGCAGAGAUGCUUUGGUGCCUUUUCGGAGGAGCUUAGUGACAGGAGGUGCAUGGCC
rnacentral:rRNA from 1 species